CCGAGUGGGCGGAGAAUACAACACCCGAAAGGGGAAUAAUCCCGGCCGACUUUUGGCGGUUUACGAACCACUCGGCGCCCUAU
rnacentral:ncRNA from 2 species